AAUCAAUCGUCGUUAUGAUUUCUUUUCAGGAGUGAUAUCGGUUGUUUGCGGUAUAUGUUUUGACCACAGAAAUAGCAAAACCAUUAUUACAUUGCUGUAGUUGGGUGAUUAUACUGGGAUUCUCAAAUCACGGCUGCCAUAAAACCGACCUUCUGGAGACCAGGAAGAAGCAGAAUCAGUGUUGCCAACAUUCGUGCGAUCAGGUAGUGCCAACCUGCGACCUUCACAUCCGCUUUCUCCGCCGUCUCACUCCGAGACAUGACGCUGUUCGACAACCUCCUCAGGAGGAUCACGGAGUUCCUGGUAGUUCUUCAGAUGUUCUUGAUGGCCUCGUGUUGGCCCACGCCAUUGGACGAGUACGACCACGACGAGGACGAAGAGGAAGUCGAGGAACCCCAAGUGCCAGACGUUAGGAGAAGAAACCAGCUGGGAACUGUGAAUGGAUAGGACAGAAGUUACCUGACCAAGGGGAUCCUGAAUUAACUACAUACUGACAUCGGAACCUUUCCUUUAUAAUAAACUGCAGAACACUGACUAUUGGCAAGUAGAGUCAAGUGUGUGGUUAUAAUACCUGGUAAGCGUUAAACACAGUUAAAGGUAACUCGAAAAUGAUGAAUUUUGAAUGAACUUGAUCAAAACAGCUGUUUUAUGAAUGAUACAACAUUGUUAUUUCCUAAAUAUAAAUACGAGGUUGAUAACAUACUUUCCUUAUUUGUUAAAAUAGCAAAUAUUUUAUUUUUGUUUCUUUACCAAAAUAAUAAGGAAAGUAGUGUAAUUUUACGUUUGAUGUAAUGUUGUUUUAUUGUUAAAAUAAAUAUUUUAUUGUUUAUAACCAUCUCCUUAUUUACCUUAACGAAGUGCACCAUUGAUGUAAAUAUUUUGUAUAACGUAACGCACAAAAAAGAUUUGGUCAAUAAAAUCAAAAUGCGCUAAGGCAUUUUUUAAACAGUCUUCUAUACGCUCCUUGUAAUAAUGUAAAAUACA